GGCCUCGAAUCAGGUAGGACUACCCGCUGAACUUAAGCAUAUCAAUAAGCGGAGGAAAAGAAACUAACAAGGAUUCCCCUAGUAACGGCGAGUGAAGCGGGAAGAGCUCAAAUUUGAAAUCUGGUGGACUUCGUUCAUCCGAGUUGUAAUCUAGAGAAGUGUUUUCCGUGCCGGCCAAUGUACAAGUCCCUUGGAACAGGGCAUCAUAGAGGGUGAGAAUCCCGUACUUGACAUUGAUCACCGGUGCUCUGUGAUACACUUUCAAAGAGUCGAGUUGUUUGGGAAUGCAGCUCAAAAUGGGUGGUAAAUU
rnacentral:rRNA from 1 species